rnacentral:rRNA from 1 species
CCUACGGGAGGCAGCAGUGGGGGAUAUUGCACAAUGGGGGAAACCCUGAUGCAGCGACGCCGCGUGGGUGAAGAAGUAUUUCGGUAUGUAAAGCCCUAUCAGCAGGGAAGAACGAAGACGGUACCUGACUAAGAAGCACCGGCUAACUACGUGCCAGCAGCCGCGGUAAUACGUAGGGGGCGAGCGUUAUCCGGAUUUACUGGGUGUAAAGGGAGCGCAGACGGCGGGUCAAGCCAGGAGUGAAAGCCCGGGGCCCAACCCCGGGACUGCUCUUGGAACUGGGCGGCUGGAGUGCGGGAGGGGCAGGCGGAAUUCCUGGUGUAGCGGUGAAAUGCGUAGAUAUUAGGAGGAACACCAGCGGCGAAGGCGGCCUGCUGGACCGUGACUGACGUUGAGGCUCGAAAGCGUGGGGAGCGAACAGGAUUAGAUACCCUUGUAGUC